rnacentral:rRNA from 1 species
GACGGGACCGCACAAGCGGUGGAUGAUGUGGAUUAAUUCGAUGCAACGCGAAAACCUUACCCACCUUUGACAUGGCAGGAAUCCCGAAGAGAUUGGGAGUGCUCGAAAGAGAACCUGCACACAGGUGCUGCAUGGCUGUCGUCAGCUCGUGUCGUGAGAUGUUGGGUUAAGUCCCGCAACGAGCGCAACCCUUGCCAUUAGUUGCUACGAAAGGGCACUCUAAUGGGACUGCCGGUGACAAACCGGAGGAAGGUGGGGAUGACGUCAAGUCCUCAUGGCCCUUAUAGGUGGGGCUACACACGUCAUACAAUGGCCGGUACAGAGGGUAGCCAACCCGCGAGGGGGAGCCAAUCCCACAAAGCCGGUCGUAGUCCGGAUCGCAGUCUGCAACUCGACUGCGUGAAGUCGGAAUCGCUAGUAAUCGCGGAUCAGCAUGUCGCGGUGAAUACGUUCCCGGGUCUU